UUUUUGGUUGUUGGAGGUAAAGAGAUUAGAGGCUCUAUCUUUGAUUUGAAGGGGCCCUGUGGUUUACCCCGAGCCUUGGUGAGUCGGGGUAUUGGCUAAAAAUCCAUUGAGGUCCUUGAGAUGGCACGAGUCAUCAAGUAGAGGUUUGUGAUUCCAAGGCUGCAGAGCAAGAGAUUGUUCUUGAGAAGUUCGAUGUUUUAAGGGAUUGAAGACCAACAUUACCAAAGAGCUCAAUGCCAGGCACAAAAGCUAGCGAUUAUGGACUGUGGCUAUGAUUUGUUGAGCUUCUUUGAGUUGUGAAACUGAAGCUCUCUCUCUUUCCAAAGAGUACCGAUCACACAUGCAGCAGAACAACAUCCUGAUGAGGUCAGAUUUUCAAGGUUCGAGGACAUGAAAGCAAAUGUCCAUAAGGUUCUUUUCCUCUCUUUCUUCUUUUGAUUUUAUGAUUUGAGAAGAUAAUAUUGAAUUGCAUGUGAUUGAGUUAGUAAAUAGGAUUUAGGAUGGGCGAAUUUUUUGCAUUCAAAUUUUCAUUUUUUUAUAAGAGUGCUUAUGCAUAUACAUGUUUGUGAAAAUGCCAAAAAGGGCUAUUUUAUAUUUUUUGUUCUCUGUGCAUAAUUUUUCCUUUCCAUACCUUAGUUAUGUAAUAGGUCAUGGUAAUGUUUUUGAUGUGUUUGGAUUUGGUUAGCUUCUUGUCAUGGCAAUAGCUAUGCUUUGCCAUGCUUGGCCGAGCUUUGCAUUUUGAGGAUAAUGUCUUAAUUCUUCGAGAAAAAAAAAAAGAAAAAAGAAAAAGAAGAAGAAGAUAAAUUGUUGAUAUUGGUCUAUAUGCGUGUUUGUCAUGUUUGUGAAGCUUAGGCCGUGUCAUUGAGUUCAUGACAGCUUGCCCACAAUGUGUUGAUGGGUUGUUUGUCCAACAAUUCUUUUAGUACUUUAGCCUUCUUGCUUAAGCUCCCUUUGUUAGAUCAUGUCUUCAUCCAUGAUGAACAACAUCUUGGCCACUAAAAGUCAUAAAAUUUUUAAACAUA